rnacentral:tRNA from 1 species
GCUGGCGUGGCAACACUCUGGCGUUUGGAAGGAACUCUAAAUUCCGGAUACACAGGUUCGAAUCCUGUCGGCAGCGCCA